AUUAGGAUAGGUCAGUCACUAGAGUGUGAGACUCUUAAUCUCAGGGGUUGUGGGUUCGAGUCCCACAUUUGGUG